GACGCGCGACGGGUGAGUAACGCGUGGGUAACCUGCCUCAUACAGGGGGAUAACAGUUGGAAACGGCUGCUAAUACCGCAUAAGCGCACAGUACCGCAUGGUACGGUGUGAAAAACUCCGGUGGUAUGAGAUGGACCCGCGUCUGAUUAGGUAGUUGGUGGGGUAACGGCCUACCAAGCCGACGAUCAGUAGCCGACCUGAGAGGGUGACCGGCCACAUUGGGACUGAGACACGGCCCAA
rnacentral:rRNA from 1 species